GAUGAACGCUGGCGGCGUGCCUAAUACAUGCAAGUCGAGCGGUAAGGCCUCUUCGGAGGUACACGAGCGGCGGACGGCUGAGUAACGCGUAGGAACGUACCCCAAACUGAGGGAUAAGCACCAGAAAUGGUGUCUAAUACCGCAUGUGCUCUAAGGAGUAAAGCUUCGGCGGUUUGGGAACGGCCUGCGUACGAUUAGAUUGUUGGUGAGGUAAUGGCUCACCAAGUCGACGAUCGUUAGCUGGUCUGAGAGGAUGAUCAGCCAGACUGGGACUGAGAACGGCCCAGACUCCUACGGGAGGCAGCAGUAGGGAAUUUUCCACAAUGGGCGAAAGCCUGAUGGAGCAACGCCGCGUGCAGGAUGAAUGCCUCGGGUUGUAAACUGCUUUUAUCUGUGACGAAAAUGACAGUACCGGGAGAAUAAGCUCCGGCUAACUCCGUGCCAGCAGCCGCCGUAA
rnacentral:rRNA from 1 species